rnacentral:rRNA from 1 species
AUUGAACGCUGGCGGCAUGCCUUACACAUGCAAGUCGAAACGGCAGCACGGGAGCAAUCCUGGUGGCGAGUGGCGAACGGGUGAGUAAUAUAUCGGAACGUGCCCAGUCGUGGGGGAUAACGCAGCGAAAGCUGUGCUAAUACCGCAUACGAUCUAUGGAUGAAAGCGGGGGAUCGCAAGGCCUCGCGCGAUUGGAGCGGCCGAUAUCAGAUUAGGCAGUUGGUGAGGUAAAGGCUCACCAAGCCGACGAUCUGUAGCUGGUCUGAGAGGACGACCAGCCACACUGGAACUGAGACACGGUCCAGACUCCUACGGGAGGCAGCAGUGGGGAAUUUUGGACAAUGGGCGCAAGCCUGAUCCAGCAAUGCCGCGUGCAGGAUGAAGGCCUUCGGGUUGUAAACUGCUUUUGUACGGAACGAAACGGUGAUUUCUAAUACAGAUUGCUAAUGACGGUACCGUAAGAAUAAGCACCGGCUAACUACGUGCCAGCAGCCGCGGUAAUACGUAGGGUGCGAGCGUUAAUCGGAAUUACUGGGCGUAAAGCGUGCGCAGGCGGUUAUAUAAGACAGAUGUGAAAUCCCCGGGCUUAACCUGGGACCUGCAUUUGUGACUGUAUAGCUAGAGUACGGUAGAGGGGGAUGGAAUUCCGCGUGUAGCAGUGAAAUGCGUAGAUAUGCGGAGGAACACCGAUGGCGAAGGCAAUCCCCUGGACCUGUACUGACGCUCAUGCACGAAAGCGUGGGGAGCAAACAGGAUUAGAUACCCUGGUAGUCCACGCCCUAAACGAUGUCAACUGGUUGUUGGGUCUUCACUGACUCAGUAACGAAGCU